GCCGAUGAUAGCCGAGUGUAACCGGUACCGAGUGUAGCCGACAUUGGCCGCAUUUAGGCAAAGAGCCGAAUAUGACCGACUUUAGCCCAACCGGGCCGAAGUUCUGCCGAAGAGCCGGAAAAGCCGAAUUUAGACGAAAAGCCGAACCGAAACGAUUUUAGACCUAAGCCGAACCAAGCCUAAUUUAGCCGAGUUUAUUUAAACAGAACCGAACGACGCCGCAGCGCUCUGCCUGCACAGCGCCGGUGCAGACGGCAGGGGGCGGUGUAUAAAGGUGCUCAGAAAGCAUGCGUCCCUUAGAGUCCCACGGAAAGGUUCUCAGUGCGCUCUCUAUCAAGUGCUAUGAGUCUUGAUAAAUUGGAGAAGAGCCCAAGAGAAAUUUUUCAUCCCUUGAUAUAAAAGGGAUCGGUGAAUUUUAACUUUGGAGUCCUCUGUGCUAAGGAUGCUCAGCUUACCGAUGAUGAAAUGUUCAGUAAUGUAUUUGCUGCAGCUCUGCUUACCCAAGCUUUGGGUUCCUUCUGUCCCACUGGGAGUGGCCCAAUUUGGUUGCAUCUGGUGAAAUUCACCCUGAGACCUUACAGAACCAGCUCCAACUACGUGAGAGCCAUUUGCAGUUCUCUCCAGACACCUGGAGAAUGGGCGACGUUUCUGAGGAUCCGGCGAGCGUGCUUCUAUCAAAACUCAGUCUGUGAAAUUCCUGGGGAAAACCCUUCUGUGUCCUGAAGGGUUCAAACUCUGGUGAGGAUCCAGUUAUCAGGUGCUCACCUGGAUGGUUCCAGCUCCCAAAGGGAAAGACUCUCGUAUCCUUGUCGUCGGUCUCGGUGCUGUCCAAGAAGAUACAGAGACUAAAAAAAUCAUAAGAAGCAAAAUAUGACUGCAGGGAAAAGAAGCUGGAGAGAACAGAAGAGCCCAGAACACGAUUUCCUCGGGCUGCCAUUUGUGUGCCAUCGGUACUCACCACGGAAGGGAGCUGGGGAUUGUUGCAGCUGUUGGGAACAAACCGCUUCUCGUCACACAGAAAUGGAAUUGGGACGACGCCUCGGCCAGCCCCUCUCUGCCAUCGUCUCCUGAAUCUGCAGCAGAGCAGUUCCAGUCCAUCCGGGCACGUGUAAUCCAGUUCCUGAUGAUCUGAGCACACGGAGCAGCGCUCAGCUGCUGUGGGGGCUCACGGAAGGCAGAGUGUGCAUUGUCAUCUUCCUGAACCUACAGACGAAUCAAAGUGAGAAGCAACAGCGUGGAAAUCAGUCGCAUAUAUGCUAAAUAAAAC